GGCAUCUUCUCUUCCACUUGUGCCAAGGAAAGCAAAGACUCUGAGAUUCAGCUCACAAAGAUUUAAAUAGGGUUUAUAUGCUCUACAGAGCUAUCCAACUUGCAAAAGAGUUCCACUUUGCUGGCCUCAAGACUGGAAACCAACCAACUUAAGACAGCAAAGGAUUCAAUCUCUCCAGCAACAUGGUUCAACUUACAAUGCAAGGCAAAGUGUGAAGAUUAUCAGGAUAAUCUAGUUGAAGUGGACAAAGUCUGAUGUAUUCAGCCACUGGUGCCACGAGCCUAGGUCUCAGAACUACGAUACAGUGGAAAAGCGCUGGAUGCUAGGUCCAAAGAUCUUGGUUCAAGUCCCAGCAUGGCCACCUGAGUGUGAGCACUGACAGCACAAAGAUGAAGACAAACCAAUCGCUGCCCUUAGAAGAUGCAGAAAGUCCUAACUAAAAUCAGAGCCCAACGUAUGCAGAC